UCCGUUCCUUCUCUAAAAGCUGGGUGAGAUGCUCUGUGCAGAAUAACAUGUUCAUUGUUUGCAGCAUCCAGCUAAGUAGACCAAUUGACCACUUGUAAGCACUGUUGUGCUACAUUUAGUCAUUAUCUCAAAGUAAAAUGUUAUAUAAGCCAAGGACCAUAGUCACUACAAACAGCCAAUGUGCCGAUAAGAACUUAGCAGGGUCAACUAGGGCCAGAAUAAUCAGAAGAACUGGAGGGUUACGGUCAUCUGGGUAGAUUCUGAUUGUUCUCAGUUCUGUGACCAGACAAUGAUUGUUCUGACUCAUUCAACAGAGCAAUCUGGGGCUGGGGUUCUAGCUCAAUAGAGAGCAUUUGCCUAGCAUAUAUGAGGUCUUAAGUUCAGUUCGCACGACCACACUAAAUCCAAUCAAUCAAGGAAAACAAAAUAUGCCUAAGUGAAUCUUACUUGGCUCAAGACCAUGAAAUAGCUCCCAAUAUUGUAAAGCUGCAUCCCAUUGUCAAACUUUCAGUGUUUAUUCAUUAUUUAUUAAAUGUUUAUGGCAUGUGAAGAAAUGUAUCUGGCACUGAGUAAGCAGGAAGCUAUGCCUGUAAUGUUUAUUCAGAGUUCAGUGCAGUUUUGAAAGUCUAUUUGGCACCAGGCACUGUACCUGCUGUGAGACGCUCACUGGUAGAGAGAACUGUUCUUGAUUUUCGAGAGCACACAGUGGGAAAGGUGCAGAGGGAUGACUGAAAGCUAUAACUGAAGGCAAACGGAAGCUCUGCCACUUGCAGGACCUGGGUGACACAGGUGGACAUUGUGCUAAGUGACUGCACCACAGUCAAAUACUACCCAGUUUCACCUGCGUGUUGAAGAGAAAUGAAAGUGGUGGCAAGGCAAGGAGACCUUGGCAAGCAGGAGAUAGUGAGAAACUAACUGGAAACCGGAAAUACUGGAUAUCAGCUCUGCAAUGGAAAUGAAAUCUGGACAAAGUGAUGAGGACACAGAAGAGUCGUCCAUGGGCCCAAGUCGUGAGGCAGCAAACAAAAGAAAGAAGCAGCCUCCAGAAGCAAAAGCAAAGUUUCGGCUGGGAAAUACAGGGACAAAGAGUGGAGCAGUAACUGAAGGAAAGGCCAUCCAGAAACUGUCCCAUCUGAGGAUCUAUGCAACCACCAAACCCAGUCACUAUUGCUGAUGCCAAGAAGUGCUUGCUGACAAGAGCCUGAUAUAGCUGUCUUCUGAGAGACUGUACCAGAUCCUGACCAAUAGAGAUGUGGAUGCUUGAAGUCAACCAUAGGGCUGAUCGCAGGGACCAGGGGAAGGACUAAAGGAGCUGAAGGAGCCUUAUCUGCCAUCAAAGGGAGGAGAGACCCUUGGUCCUGUGAAGACUUGCCCCCCCUCCUAUGUAGAGGAAUGCUAGGGCGGUGAGGUGGGAGUGUGUGGGUGGCUGGGGGAGCACCCUCAUAGAAGCAGGAUAAGGGGGGAUGUUAUACAGGGUUUGCAGAUGGAAAACUUGGAAAGGGAAUAACAUUUGAAAUGUAAAUAA